GACCCCAGGUCAGGCGRGGCCACCCHCCGAGCUUAAGCAUAUCAAUAAGCGGAGGAGAGGAAACUUACGAGGAUUCCCCUAGUAACGGCGAGCGAACCGGGACCAGCCCAGCU
rnacentral:rRNA from 1 species